AUCGUCUGAGCUGGGUAUAGGGGCGAAAGACCAAUCGAACCAUCUAGUAGCUGGUUCCCUCCGAAGUUUCCCUCAGGAUAGCUGGCUCUCGGGAAGAGACGAGUCUCAUCCGGUAGAGCGAAUGAUUAGAGGUGAUGGGGUCGAAACGACUUCAACCUAUUCUCAAACUCCCAAUAGAUGAGAGCCCCGGCUUGCUUGAAAGUGAAGCCGCGGGACACGGAUCAGAGGUGCCAAGUGGGCCAAUUUUGGUAAGCAGAACUGGCGCUGUGGGAUGAACCAAACGCAGAGUUAAGGCGCCUGAUUCGACGCUCAUCCGAAACCAUGAAAGGCGUUGGUUGCUUAAGACAGCAGGUCGGUGGCCAUGGAAGUCGGAAUCCGCUAAGGAGUGUGUAACAACUCACCUGCCGAAGCAACUAGCCCUGAAAAUGGAUGGCGCUGUAGCGUCGUGCCUAUACUCUGCCGUCAACGGCAAAGCGGGCGGCCCCUCACGGGGCGUUGCCGUUAAGCCUUGACGAGUAGGAGGGUCGCGGCGGUGUGCGCGGAAGGGUCUGGGCGUGAGCCCGCCUGGAGCCGCCGCCGGUGCAGAUCUUGGUGGUAGUAGCAAAUACUCCAGCGAGGCCCUGGAGGACUGAUGUGGAGAAGGGUUUCUUGUGAACAGCUGUUGCACAAGAGUCAGUCGAUCCUAAGCCCUAGGAGAAAUCCGAAGCGAUGGUCUGCCGUUAAAUUUCAAAGACGACCGCAGAGAGGAAAGAAAAAUUUUUAUUUUUUUUUCUUUUUCUCGCAGUUGUAUAUUGAGAUGGCACCGUCUGGGCGAAAGGGAGUCCGGUUCCUAUUCCGGAACCCGGCAGCGGAACCGCUCCAAUUCGGGCCCUCAUCCGAGGACUCGUCGGGGUGACCCGAAAUGACCCGGAGAAGCCGUAGGGAGGUCCGGGGAGAGUUGUCUCUUCUCUAUAAGCGUUCGAGUUCCCU
rnacentral:rRNA from 1 species